AACGAACGCUGGCGGCAGGCCUAACACAUGCAAGUCGAGCGAGGUAGCAAUACCUAGCGGCGGACGGGUGAGUAACGCGUGGGAACGUACCCUUUGGUUCGGAAUAGCCCCGGGAAACUGGGAGUAAUACCGGAUACGGUCGAGAGACGAAAGAUUUAUCGCCGAAGGAUCGGCCCGCGUUGGAUUAGGUAGUUGGUGGGGUAAUGGCCUACCAAGCCGACGAUCCAUAGCUGGUUUGAGAGGAUGAUCAGCCACACUGGGACGUGAGACACGGCCCAGACUCCUACGGGAGGCAGCAGUGGGGAAGUCUUGUGCAAUGGGCGCAAGCCUGACACAGCAACGCCGCGUGCGGGAAGAAGGCCUCGGUCGUAACCGACUUCUACGCAGGAAC
rnacentral:rRNA from 1 species